rfam:Xiphophorus maculatus strain JP 163 A Contig1066.2, whole genome shotgun sequence.
GGUCGCUUAGCUCAACUGGUCAGAGCGUGGUGCUAAUAACACCAAGGUCAUGGGUUCAAUCCACAUAUUGGCCA